rnacentral:lncRNA from 1 species
CACCCACUUUGUCCUGGCUCGGUCCUGCAGCACUGGAGCUGUGAUUCUUGCACUAAGAAGCAUGAAGGAUACAAAAGAGAAGCAAAAACCAGAAGCACAGAGAAGGAAGUAGGGGAAAACAUUGUAAAACAGAUGAGAAGAGCUGAAAACAAAAUCUGGAUUCCAUUGACAAUCGAUUUGAAAAUUAAGCCACAAAGGGAAAAUGGACAAUGAAGUCUUAUUAAAGAGGCAUCUUAUUAAAGACACAUUGAGCUCAAAUAGUG